AACUGAUACUACCUGCGGGAACCUGCGGAGGGAUCAUUAUCGAGUUUACAACUCCCAAACCAUUGUGAAUCUUACCUUUUCGUUGCUUCGGCGGGAUCGCCCCGGGCGCUUCGGUGCCCCGGAUUCAGGCGCCCGCCGGGGGACCUAAACUCUUGUAUUAUAGUGGAUUUCUGAGUGGAUUACACAAAUAAUCAAAACUUUUAGCAACGGAUCUCU
rnacentral:misc_RNA from 1 species